rnacentral:rRNA from 1 species
GAUGAACGCUGGCGGCGUGCCUAAUACAUGCAAGUCGAGCGAACAGACGAGGAGCUUGCUCCUCUGACGUUAGCGGCGGACGGGUGAGUAACACGUGGAUAACCUACCUAUAAGACUGGGAUAACUUCGGGAAACCGGAGCUAAUACCGGAUAAUAUAUUGAACCGCAUGGUUCAAUAGUGAAAGACGGUUUUGCUGUCACUUAUAGAUGGAUCCGCGCCGCAUUAGCUAGUUGGUAAGGUAACGGCUUACCAAGGCAACGAUGCGUAGCCGACCUGAGAGGGUGUCCGCCAACCUUGAAACUGAGCCACGUUCCAGCCCCUUAGGGGAGGAAGCGGUGGGGAAUCUUCGGAAAUGGGCGAAAGUUUGAGGGAGCAACGCCGGGUAGGUGAUGAAGGCCUCGGAUUCGUAAAAUUUUGUUAUUGGGGAAAACCAAUUUGGAAAGUACUUAUCACGGUUUGGAGGUUCCCAAUCAGAAAGCCACGGCUAACUACGCG